CCCUUCUCACGUCCGUCUGGUGAAUAUAAAGCUGAGGGGCUUCGCACAGAGACGACACACGAGAAAUAAAGAGUUAUUUGGUGCGCUUCAGAGGUGCUGGAAUGCACAUUUUUGUGACCCUUUUUCGGGCUUAAAGCGAAGCUGGUAAUGAGUGAAGUCUGUAAAUCUGCAGUCUGCCUUUUCACUCUGCUGGCACAGUCAGUGUCCCCCACCGGUGAGGAAGUGAAAGCCCCGGCCGACGGCGGCGUCCCGCCCAUCCGCCUUUUUCAUGAGAGAGCGAGAUUUCUAAUUUUACCUCCAAUUUUACCGCCCAAUGCUACAAGCUACUUUUUUUAGAAGAAGAAGAAGCAGCCUGAAGAAACAGACAUCUGCAGAAGAAACAAGCGAGGGCAGGUCGGUUCCAACAGGCCGGCUCAGGACACGCCCUUCCGACGGUCUGCGUGGUGAAUUACAAUAUUCAAAAAACACAAGACGGCACGGAGCCUCGCCUCGAAGGGAAAUCAGUGGUAAAAACCUUCGGGAAGGAUUUCCUGAAUCUAAUUGGUAAAAAAAAAUGUUUUUAAAUAAUCAAAGCCCUGACUAAAGAUUUUAAGGAAAACGUCUGCAGCAUAUCAGGGUGGGCACCUUGCAUCGGGAUGCACCGCAAAUCUUUUCCACAUUAAUGUUAAUAACGAUUUGCGCAGUCUCUUUAUAGUGUGAACUGCAUUACAUCCCAAAAUGUAAUGCCAGUAAUCACAAUGGCGUCAAGCUCUAAAAUGCAAUCACUGUUGCUCUGGGUGGGUGAUAUGCAACAUAAUAUACGGGCCAGACAAUAUAUAAAUCUGUAAAUCGGCAGCGAUUUAUUUUCCUUUUUCAUUAUUUCUGGGUGCAGUUCUGCGGAUUAAUAACCUAAACUGCGUCACGGCAUUUUAGAACGAUUUUUGCAUCAAUUGAUGAAGUUUCUUCUUUUUUUUUGGUCAGUGAUUUGAAUUCGCUGGAAACAAACAUUCGGUUAUGUUAUUCAUUGAUGAUUCCCAUAAUUCAAGGCUUCCAGGUUCAUUUCUGCAACACAAAACCAUUGGCUGUAUCUAGGACACAUGGAAAUGUAACUGAGCAAGGCAGCGGGGCCAAUACGAGCUUUGAGGAGCAAAUAAGAUGGCUGUGGGGCUAUUUUUAAAUCGUAAAACCCGUAAAGUUUUUAACUACAGGAUGAAGGACAUGUUGAGAUUCCUUCACCCUCUCUGUGACACUACCGGGGGAAACCAACCCUAGUGUGCAUGUCAGCGUGUACUAACUACUACCUAACUAAAUGUCUACUUGUUGACUCGCAGAAGCCUCCUUCACAGUGAAUAAUAAACCUGAAACUCUCCUGAGAACCAGGAAAGUCUCGGGAAGUCUCACCGUUCAUCUCCGUGUCCAGACGCUCUCCGUGGGAGUUGAACCACUGGACGCUGGGGAACGGCUCUCCGGUGACGUUGCAAUCAAUCACCGCGCAGGUUCCCUCGCGGGCAAUUAUCUGGUUCACUUUGGUGAACACGACCGGGACAAAUCCGCCGUCUGUCACGUUGCCGUUUCCCGUUUGGUUUCCGUCGCGGGCGGCGUCCCCCGAUAAGGCCCCGGUGGUGCGGGAGGCGACAAGGGA